UGCUGGGGCUCAGUGGCAGAGCGCUUGCCUCGCAUGCAUGAGGCUCUGGGUUCCAUCCUCAGCACCUGGAAA
rnacentral:tRNA from 1 species